rnacentral:rRNA from 1 species
AUUGAACGCUGGCGGCAGGCCUAACACAUGCAAGUCGAACGAGUCGCGGGAGGAAGAGUAAUGACUGUGCCUCUGCCUGAUGGAUGGCGAUAACUACUGGAAACGGUAGCUAAUACCGCAUACCAUAGCAUGUGUCCAGAUGGGAUUAUCGAGUAGGUGGGGUAACGGCUCACCACGACGACGAUCCGUACCUGGUCUGAGAGGAUGACCAGCCACACUGGAACUGAGACACGGCCCAGACUCCUACGGGAGGCAGCAGUGGGGAAUAUUGCACAAUGGGCGAAAGCCUGAUGCAGCCAUGCCGCGUGGAUGAAGAAGGCCUUCGGGUUGUAAAGCACUUUAAGCGAGGAGGCGUUACCCGCAGAAGAAGCACCGGCUAACUCCGUGCCAGCAGCCGCGGUAAUUC